UUUCACUCUCCCAACAACCCUGACGUAAGGACUAUUAUCCCUAUUUAACACAUGAGGAAAGGGAGGUUUGAGAGCUCUGGUUACUUUUUCACAUUCUGAAGCUAGGUGCCUCCACAGCACAUGAAAUGUUCUGCCGUCGUUCGUCUCCCUGGGACCAUAUGGAAACGGGGGCUGCUUCCCCUGGAGAUCACAAAGGGCUUCUGCAGUAGAGAAAGGAGACUAAGAGCACCUUUCUAGACUUUUCCUUAGCAUUCUUCAAGAUGUACUAUCAGAAGUUCAAUAAAAACAACCUAAUGCUGAGAUUCAUGGAUAGAAAAUUGACUCAACUUCCUGCCUUCCGACGAGCUUAUUUUCUUCUUAGCCAUUGUAAAUUGGUGGAGCCGUGUUCCUCCUUGUCUUAGAAACUUUUAAUGGUGCUGUUGCCCUCAGGUUAAGGUCUGGACUCCUUGUGGCUCUCCAAAUCCCUCAGAGUCCUUCAUUGUCUGAGCAGGCACACUCAUCUUCUGUAGUUUAAAAGGUGCCACUGUGCCUGGCGGAUUGUAUUUUUAAAAAUUUAUUUAGAGAUGGGGUCUUGCUCUGUCAAGCAGGUUGGAUGGAGUGCAGUGGCGCGAUCAUAACUCACUGCAGCCUUGACUUCCUAAGUCAAGCAACCCUCCUCCCUCAGCCUUUCCAGAGGACAGCAGCUGGGGCCUUCAGACAAUUACGUUUCCUUAGUCGGACAUCUGAGAGGCAUAAUUUCAUGGCUACCACAGAAACUGAGAGCAAAUAUUACAUUUCUCAUCCCCCCUUGAAGCUUGGGUCUUGCUGAAUAUUGUUUUCAUAAAGCAAUCUGCCAUAUUGAAAAAGCCAUGUAAUGAGAAACUGUGUGCAACCUCCAGCCAACAGCUAGGAAAGAACUGAGGCCCUCAGUCUUCUCAGGUGGCCUACUGGCCAAUAUGUACAAGUUGUAUAUACAACUUCCAGAAGGGUCCUUAAAAGAAGAGGGCUAUCACUUUCUUGCCUUCUUUUCUUUCUUGCUGGCUGGAAUGUGAUGAUAUCACUAGAUCUGAAACAGCCAUUUUGGACUAAAAGGCAGAAGCCACAGGUGAGGAUGAUGGAGUUACAAAAUAAAAGAAGUCCAAGUCCUAGUGAACUGGGCCACCAUGAACUUCCCAGGUUUACUGGAGAGAGAAAUAAACCUCUAACUUGUGUAUGUCUCUGCUUGAUUUUCAGUUACUUAUAACAGAACUUUAUCCAAACUGAAAAAAAUUUUACAUUUUAUAUGUAAAGUCCGAAGUUUAACAGAGUUAGUAUUUCCCAGACGAUAAAUCAUGGGAAAAAUAAAAGUUUAAUUACCUAGGACUAUUACUGGGAGAUGAUAUUUGCUGCAUAUAGUGAAGGUGCUAGCAAAUCUCCCCUUUUUGUUGCUAAGAGGGUGUUCCACUUAGUUAGCCAGGGCAACAGAAGGAAACCAUUGAUGUUCCUCACGGAGAAGUCUUUGAAAACAGCACAUGAGACAGCAGCUAAGAGCGCCCCCCACCGCAUUCCAGGCUAAUAGCAUUGGCUCCAGAGGCUAACAGGGUUUAUUGAGUGAAGGGACCAAGGGGGAAACCAGCUUGAUUUUAAUUGUCUGUCUAGUCUGUUGGAAACUAACUUUCUCUAAAUGAAUGCUUUUUGAAGUUUUCAAAGCUCGAGAACAUAAUAAAUAUUACCCUUUGCUGGGUUUCCUCUUUGGCUAUGGCACAGGGGGGUAUUUUCUGGAAGGAUAUGGUUAUCCUCUCUGAUGACUUUCAAAAUCUGAAUUUAGGCUGGGCAUGGUGGCUCACACCUGUAAUUCCAACACUUUGGGAGGCCGAGGCAGGCGAAUCACCUGAGGUCAGGAGCUUCAGAUCAGCCUGGCCAACAUGGUGAAACCCCAUCUCUACUAAAAAUACAAAAAUUAGCCAGGCAUGGUGGUGGGCACGUAUAAUCUCAGCUACUCCCGAGGCUGAGGCAGGAGAAUCACCUGAACCUGGGAGGUGGAGGAUGCGGUGAGCCGAGAUCACGCCACUGCACUGAAGCCUGGGAGACAGAGCGAGACUCCUUCUCAACACACACACACACACACACACACACACACGAAUUUAGCCUUCGAAACAUUUCAGCUAUUUUAUCCAUAACAUUUUUUUUUUUUGAGACGGAG
rnacentral:lncRNA from 1 species